rnacentral:rRNA from 1 species
UACGUAGGGUGCAAGCGUUAAUCGGAAUUACUGGGCGUAAAGCGUACGCAGGCGGCUAUGUAAGACAGGUGUGAAAUCCCCGGCCGACCUGGGAACUGCAUUUGUGACUGCAUAGCUAGAGUCCGUCAGAGGGGGGUGGAAUUCCACGUGUGAGCAGUGAAAUGCGUAGAGAUGUGGAGGAACACCGAUGGCGAAGGCAGCCCCCUGGGAUGAGACUGACGCUCAUGUACGAAAGCGUGGGGAGCAAACAGG